rnacentral:rRNA from 1 species
CCUACGGGAGGCAGCAGUAAGGAAUAUGGUCAAUGGACGCAAGUCUGAACCAGCCAUGCCGCGUGGAGGAUGAAGGUCCUCUGGAUUGUAAACUUCUUUUAUUUGGGAAGAAACCUCUCUAUUCCUAGAGAGUUGACGGUACCAAGUGAAUAAGCACCGGCUAACUCCGUGCCAGCAGCCGCGGUAAUACGGAGGGUGCAAGCGUUAUCCGGAUUCACCGGGUUUAAAGGGUGCGUAGGCGGGCUUGUAAGUCCGUGGUGAAAUCUCUGAGCUUAACUCGGAAACUGCCAUGGAUACUAUAGGCCUUGAAUUCUGUGGAGGUUUGCGGAAUAUGUCAUGUAGCGGUGAAAUGCUUAGAUAUGACAUAGAACACCGAUUGCGAAGGCAGCAGGCUACACAGCGAUUGACGCUGAGGCACGAAAGCGUGGGGAUCAAACAGGAUUAGAUACCCUGGUAGUCCACGCCCUAAACGAUGAUNACUCGACAUNNCGCGAUACACAGUGUGUGUCUGAGCGAAAGCAUUAAGUAAUCCACCUGGGNAAGUACGACCGCCAGGUUGAAACUCAAAGGAAUUGACGG